rnacentral:rRNA from 1 species
AUGAACGCUGGCGGCGUGCCUCAUACAUGCCAGUCGCGCUAACGGACGAGAAGCUUGCUUCUCUGAUGUUAGCGGCGGACGGGUGAGUAACACGUGGAUAACCUACCUAUAAGACUGGGAUAACUUCGGGAAACCGGAGCUAAUACCGGAUGAUAUUUUGAACCGCAUGGUUCCAAAGUGAAAGACGGUCUUGCUGUCACUUAUAGAUGGAUCCGCGCUGCAUUAGCUAGUUGGUAAGGUAACGGCUUACCAAGGCAACGAUGCAUAGCCGACCUGAGAGGGUGAUCGGCCACACUGGAACUGAGACACGGUCCAGACUCCUACGGGAGGCAGCAGUAGGGAAUCUUCCGCAAUGGGCGAAAGCCUGACGGAGCAACGCCGCGUGAGUGAUGAAGGUCUUCGGAUCGUAAAACUCUGUUAUUAGGGAAGAACAUAUGUGUAAGUAACUGUGCACAUCUUGACGGUACCUAAUCAGAAAGCCACGGCUAACUACGUG